rnacentral:rRNA from 1 species
AAUGGCCUAACGGCUGAACUGGCAACUUGGAGAAGUGGCAAGUCUUAUUCUUUAUAAUAUUUAUAAUAGUAUAAGAUUGUAUUAGGAUUGAAUGAAGCUUUGUUUAUAUAUUGAUAAAGACAGUAUAUAUAUCGUGUCUUGACUAAUUGCGUGCCAGCAGUCGCGGUAAUACGUAAGAGACUAGUGUUAUUCAUCUUAAUUAGGUUUAAAGGGUACCCAGACGGUCAUUAUAGCUUCAAAAAUGUUAGUACAUGACUAGAGUUUUAUAUAAGAGGGCAGUACUUGAGGAGGAGAGAUGAAAUUCUGUGAUCCCAAAGGGACUCUGAAAAGGCGAAGGCAGCCCUUUAUGUAUUAACUGACGUUGAAGGACGAAGGCACAGAGAACAAACAGGAUUAGAUACCCUAAUAGUCUUUGCAGUAAAUGAUGAAUGCCAUAGGUUAGGAAGGGUUAACCUUUAAGGGUAUUAGGACAAAGUUUAGGGAAUUGUUCCCCCAUAAAGCUAUGUAUUAGUGCACCGCUAGGUGAUAGUUAAUACACAUAGAACCCCCCAAAAUCUUAGUCUAUAAAUGAAAGUGUAAGCAUUUCACCUCAAGAGUAAUGUGGCAACGCAGGAACUGAAAUCACUAGACCGUUUCUGACACCAGUAGUGAAGUAUGUUGUUUAAUUCGAUGACCCACGAAAAACCUUACCACAAUUUGAAUAAUAUAUUAAAUAUAUUACAGGAGUUGCACGGCUGUUUUCAGUUAAUGUUGUGAAGCUGUGGUUUCCAUGAAAUUAACGUAAUCCCCGGUUUUA